UACGGAAGGCAGCAGUGGGGAAUAUUGGACAAUGGGCGAAAGCCUGAUCCAGCCAUGCCGCAUGAGUGAAGAAGGCCUUCGGGUUGUAAAGCUCUUUUAGUGGGAAAGAUAAUGACGGUACUCACAGAAGAAGUCCUGGCUAACUCCGUGCCAGCAGCCGCGGUAAUACGGAGAGGGCUAGCGUUAUUCGGAAUUAUUGGGCGUAAAGAGCGCGUAGGCUGAUUAGUAAGUUAAAAGUGAAAUCCCAAAGCUUAACUUUGGAAUUGCUUUUUAAAACUGCUAGUCUAGAGAUUUGAAAGAGGAUAGAGGAAUUCCUAGUGUAGAGGUGAAAUUCGUAAAUAUUAGGAGGAACACCAGUGGCGAAGGCGUCUAUCUGGUUCAAAUCUGACGCUGAGGCGCGAAGGGCGUGGGGAGCGAAACAGGGAUUAGAUACC
rnacentral:rRNA from 1 species